rnacentral:misc_RNA from 1 species
GAAAUGCGAUAAGUAAUGUGAAUUGCAGAAUUCAGUGAAUCAUCGAAUCUUUGAACGCACAUUGCGCCCGCCAGUAUUCUGGCGGGCAUGCCUGUUCGAGCGUCAUUUCCACCAUCAAGCGCCCGCCGGGGCUUGUGUUGGGGUCCUGCGGCUGCCCGCAGGCCCUGAAAAUCAGUGGCGGUCUCGCCGGCACGACCGAGCGUAGUAGCUUUCUAUUAGACCUCGCUCAGGGAGUGCGGCGGGCGCCGGCCGUUAAACCGUCCCCACGACGCCUCUCUCCGAAAGGUUGACCUCGGAUCAGGUAGGAGUACCCGCUGAACUUAA